rnacentral:tRNA from 1 species
UAGCUCAAUGGUAGAGCGCGUGCCUAGCAAGCGCAAGGCCCUGGGUUCGGUCCCCAG